rnacentral:rRNA from 1 species
GAUGAACGCUAGCGGCAGGCCUAAUACAUGCAAGUCGAACGGGUGGUCGCAAGACCACUAGUGGCGCACGGGUGCGUAACGCGUAACCAACCUGCCCCGAUCUGGGGGAUAGCCCGCCGAAAGGCGGAUUAAUACCGCAUAUACCCGCAGCCUGGCAUCAGGCAACGGGGAAAGAUUUAUUGGAUCGGGAUGGGGUUGCGUGACAUUAGCUAGUUGGCGGGGUAAGGGCCCACCAAGGCGACGAUGUCUAGGGGACCUGAGAGGGUGAUCCCCCACACUGGCACUGGGAUCAGGGCCAGACUCCUACGGGAGGCAGCAGUAGGGAAUAUUGGGCCAUGGGCGAGAGCCUGACCCAGCCAGGCAGCGUGCAGGAUGAAGGCCUUCUGGGUUGUAAACGGCUUUUCUCAGGGAAGAAAAAGACCUUGCGAGGUACACUGACGGUACCUGAGGAAUAAGCACCGGCUAACUCCGUG